UUUAAUCCACAAACCACAUUAACCAAAAUCCAAACCAUAUCAUUUCUACAUCCAAUUGAUCCAAAUUAAUAUCCAAAUAAUACAAAAGUUGGAAUUGCAGUAUAAGCCAAUAGUGCGAAGCAUAUUCAAAGGCAAUACAAGUGCCAAGACAUAGAAGUAAAAUGGAAGAUUGAAACAAGGCAAUGUUAGGAAUCGGCAACCAAAAGCAAUAAGCCAAAGUGAAAUGCAGCAGCUACACAACAAGUUUAACCGCAGUAGCAAUAAAGCGCAACAUGCGUGAAUGAACAUAGAUCACCAAUAGAAACAACACCAGCUACAAUAUGCCAAGCUACCAAGACGCCAAGCCAAGACAAAGGGAGAUGCGCCAUAAAAGCGGUAGCUUCCCAAACUACAAGCGUCAAAACGCACGCCAAGCGCGAACAAUAAAAUUGAAGAGUGAAUAACGCAAUUAACUCUUUUACCUGCAAAAACAUAUAGCAGAAUUUCAAGCUAUCAAUGACCGUAAAAAUAAUUCACAACAGAUUUUUUUUCUCUAACAAACUUCUAACCUCCCUUUCAUAACUCUAUAAAUUCUUCUUCUUCCCUCUCUCAAACUCUCUUCCAGAUUCUUCUUCUUCUUCCCUCUCUCAAACUCUCUUCCAGAUUCUUCUUCUUCUUCCCUCCCUCCAAACUCUAACAAACUUUUCCAAUCUACAUUUCCUACAAUCUCCAUGUUGGUGAUUUUAGUAGUAAUGAGAUUUACUAUAGGCCGAUGCAAUUAUGCGUUAAAGCUUGGAAACGAGUUAGGAGUAGUGCGGAGUGCACGCUCGUAGAGCCAACGUGUAAUUGACUGCAAGUAAUUGAAAACGGGGUUCCAAGGGGCGUAGCCCCUGGCGGGGUGCGGGGCAGCGCCCCGCUGGGGUUCCAAGGGGCGAAGCCCCUGGCGGGGUGCGGGGCAGCGCCCUGCCGGGGUCCAAGGGGCAGAGCCCCUGG
rnacentral:lncRNA from 1 species